rnacentral:rRNA from 1 species
CGUAGGUGGUAAGCGUUGUCCGGAUUUAUUGGUUUAAAGGGUGCGUAGGCGGUGAUUUAAGUCAGUGGUGAAAUACUUCAGCUUAACUGGAGAGGUGCCAUUGAUACUGGGUCACUUGAGUACUGAUGAGGUAGGCGGAAUGGACGGUGUAGCGGUGAAAUGCUUAGAUAUCGUCCAGAACACCGAUAGCGAAGGCAGCUUACUAAGGAGUAACUGACGCUGAGGCACGAAAGUGUGGGGAUCAAACAGGAUUAGAUACCCUGGUAGUCCACACUGUAAACGAUGAUCACUCGAUGUUGGCGAUACACAGCCAGCGUCUUAGCAAAAGCGAUAAGUGAUCCACCUGGGGAGUACGCCGGCAACGGUG